CCCUUAGACGUUCUGGGCCGCACGCGCGCUACACUGACACGGGCAACGAGCUUUCCUUUACCGAAAGGUAUGGGUAAUCUUUUGAAACUGUGUCGUGCUGGGGAUAGAUCCUUGCAAUUUUUGAUCUUAAACGAGGAAUUCCUAGUAAGCGCGAGUCAUCAACUCGCGUUGAUUACGUCCCUGCCCUUUGUACACACCGCCCGUCGCUACUACCGAUUGAAUGGCUUAGUGAGGCCUCAGGAUCCGCGCUUAAUGUGUGGAGAAUUUGGACAAACUACGUCAUUUAGAGGAAGUAAAAGUCGUAACA
rnacentral:rRNA from 1 species